AUACCUGUUUCAGCAGUACAUAUUUUGAUAUUGAAUCAAUACAGAACAGAUAAGCAUGCAUGCUGCCUAAACAUGGCACACAAAUUCUUAAAGCGUUCCGUAUUUUG
ensembl:snRNA U6 U6 spliceosomal RNA